GAUCAUUAAUAAUUGUGAAUCGUUGCCUUUGGUGCUGGCCCCGGCAUGUGCACACUGGUGACUUUCAUCCAAUACCCUUGUGAACCCUUUGCCUCUUGCUGGCUUUGGCUGGCAGAGGAUUUUAUACACAACUCGAAUGUAAUGAAACCUAUUAUUGUACGCAAGCACUAAUGUACAACUUUCAACAACGGAUCUCUUGGCUCUCGCAUCGAUGAAGAACGCAGCGAAAUGCGAUAAGUAAUGUGAAUUGCAGAAUUCAGUGAAUCAUCGAAUCUUUGAACGCACCUUGCACCUUUUGGUAUUCCGAAGGGUAUGCUCGUUUGAGUGUCAUUGUACUCUCACACUCUUCGAUCCUUUGGAUUUGGGGAGUGGUGGACUUGGGUGUUGCCGCUUUACUGUGGCUCAUCUCAAAUGCAGUAGUGCAACUCUUAGUUGGACAUAGUACGGCGUGAUAAGUAUCUUCGCCGGCACCUCGCAUUGAGGGUGGCUAAUUGAGAGCUCUGUGCUUCAAACCGUCUUCAGACAAUCACUGACAACUUGGCCUCAAAUCGAGUAGGACUACCCGCUGAACUUAAGCAUAUCAAUAAGCGGAGGAAAARAAACUAACAAGGAUUCCCCUAGUAACUGCGAGUGAAGAGGGRAAAGCUCAAAUUUAAAAUCUGGCAGCCUUUGGUUGUCCGAGUUGUAAACUAGAGAAGCGACAUCGGCGCUGGACCGUGUACAAGUCUCCUGGAAUGGAGCGUCAUAGAGGGUGAGAAUCCCGUCUUUGACACGGACUACCAGGGCUUUGUGAUGCGCUCUCAAAGAGUCGAGUUGUUUGGGAAUGCAGCUCAAAAUGGGUGGUAAAUUCCAUCUAAAGCUAAAUAUUGGCGAGAGACCGAUAGCGAACAAGUACCGUGAGGGAAAGAUGAAAAGAACUUUGGAAAGAGAGUUAAACAGUACGUGAAAUUGCUGAAAGGGAAACGCUUGAAGUCAGUCGCGUUGGCCGAGAAUCCGCCUUGCUUUUGCAUGGCUUACUUCGCGGUUCAACGGGUCAGCAUCAAUUUUGACCAUUGGAAAAAGAUGGGGGGAAUGUGGCAUCUUCGGAUGUGUUAUAGCCUCUUGUUGCAUGCAGUGGUUGGGAUUGAGGAACUCAGCACGCCGCAAGGCCGGGAGCAAUCC
rnacentral:rRNA from 1 species